rnacentral:rRNA from 1 species
AGAGUUUGAUCAUGGCUCAGGGUGAAUGCUGGCGGCGUGGAUAAGUCAUGCAAGUCAAGGGGGCCCGCAAGGGCAACCGGCAGACGAGGUAGUAACACGUAGGUACGUCCCCCGAAGUCGGGCAUAGCCAUCCGAAAGGAUGGGUAAUUCCCGAUAGUCCCGCAAGGGUAAAGGUUUUUCGCUUCGGGAGCGGCCUGCGUAGUAUCAGCUAGUUGGUAGGGUAAUGGCCUACCAAGGCUACGACGCUUAAGGGAGCUGAGAGGCUGACCCCCACCGAUGGAACUGCGACACGGUCCAUACUCCUACGGGAGGCUGCAGACGAGAAUAUUCCGCAAUGGACGAAAGUCUGACGGAGCGACGCCGCGUGAUCGAUGAAGUGCUUCGGUACGUAAAGGUCUUUUAUCGGGGACGAAGUUAUUGACGGUACCCGAUGAAUAAGGGGCUCCUAACUCUGUGCCAGCAGGAGCGGUAAUACAGAGGCCCCAAGCAUUGCCCGGAAUCACUGGGCGUAAAGGGUGUCUAGGCGGCACUAUUAGUCUCCCGUUAAAUCUAUGGGCUCAACCUGUAGGCUGCGGGGGAAACGGUAGUGCUCGAGGGCGUGAGAGGUGCAUGGAACUCAUGGUGGAGGGGUGAAAUCCGUUGAUAUCAUGGGGAACACCAAAGGCGAAGGCAAUGCACUGGUACGUUCCUGACGCUCAAACACGAAAGCCAGGGUAGCGAAUGGGAUUAGAUACCCCAGUAGUCC